rnacentral:rRNA from 1 species
CCGUGUGCCUACAAAUAGUCAGAGCCCGUUAAUGGGUGAUGGCGUGCCUUUUGUAGAAUGAACCGGCGAGUUACGAUAUCGUGCGAGGUUAAGCAGAAGAUGCGGAGCCGUAGCGAAAGCGAGUCUGAAUAGGGCGAAGAGUACGAUGUUGUAGACCCGAAACCGUGUGAGCUAGCCAUGAGCAGGCUGAAGGUCAGGUAACACUGACUGGAGGGCCGAACCAGGGCACGUUGAAAAGUGCUUGGAUGACUUGUGGCUAGGGGUGAAAUUCCAAUCGAACACGGAUAUAGCUGGUUCUCUCCGAAAUAGCUUUAGGGCUAGCCUCGAUGUUAAGUCUACUGGAGGUAGAGCACUGAAUGGGUGAUGGCCCCACCUCGGGGUACUGAUCUCAAUCAAACUCCGAAUGCCAGAUAGAUAUAAUCGGGAGUCAGACUGUGGGUGAUAAGGUCCAUGGUCAAAAGGGAAAGAGCCCAGACCGCCAGCUAAGGCCCCCAAGUGUCCGUUAAGUGGAAAAGGAUGUGGAGAUGCACAGACAACUAGGAGGUUGGCUUAGAAGCAGCCAUCCUUUAAAGAGUGCGUAAUAGCUCACUAGUCGAGUGACUCUGCGCCGAAAAUGUACCGGGGCUAAACGGACCGCCGAAGCUGCGGAUUGACUUUAGAGUCAGUGGUAGGAGAGCGUUCUAACAGCGGUGAAGCAGUACCGGAAGGAGCUGUGGAGCGGUUAGAAGUGAGAAUGCCGGUGUGAGUAGCGAAAGAUAGGUGAGAAUCCUAUCCAUCGAAAGCCUAAGGUUUCCAGGGGAAGGCUCGUCCGCCCUGGGUAAGUCGGGACCUAAGGUGAGGCCGAAAGGCGUAGCCGAUGGACAACAGGUUGAUAUUCCUGUACCACUUAUUAAACUGAUGGAGUGACGGAGAAGGCUAAGUUGAGCGUGUGAUUGGAUUCACGUGUAAGCAGUGAGGUGGUCAUGUAGGCAAAUCCGCAUGGCAUAACAUUGAGCUGUGAUGCCGAAGCCGAAUGGCGAAGUCAACUGACGUCACGCUUCCAAGAAAAGCUUCUAGGGUUAAUUUAAUAAGUGCCCGUACCGAUAACCGACACAGGUAGGCGAGGAGAGAAUCCUAAGAUGAGCGAGAGAACUCUUGUUAAGGAACUCGGCAAAAUGACCCCGUAACUUCGGGAGAAGGGGUGCUUGUGAAAGCAAGCCGCAGUGAAUAGGCCCAGGCGACUGUUUAUCAAAAACACAGGUCUCUGCUAAACCGCAAGGUGAUGUAUAGGGGCUGACGCCUGCCCGGUGCUGGAAGGUUAAGAGGAGAGGUUAGCGCAAGCGAAGCUUUGAAUUGAAGCCCCAGUAAACGGCGGCCGUAACUAUAACGGUCCUAAGGUAGCGAAAUUCCUUGUCGGGUAAGUUC